rnacentral:rRNA from 1 species
UACGAAGGGGGCUAGCGUUGCUCGGAAUUACUGGGCGUAAAGCGCGCGUAGGUGGUUCGUUAAGUUGGAUGUGAAAUCCCCGGGCUCAACCUGGGAACUGCAUUCAAAACUGUCGAGCUAGAGUAUGGUAGAGGGUGGUGGAAUUUCCUGUGUAGCGGUGAAAUGCGUAGAUAUAGGAAGGAACACCAGUGGCGAAGGCGACCACCUGGACUGAUACUGACACUGAGGUGCGAAAGCGUGGGGAGCAAACAGG